UGGGGAAUAUUGCACAAUGGGGGAAACCCUGAUGCAGCGACGCCGCGUGAACGAAGAAGGUAUUCGUAUCGUAAAGUUCUGUCCUAUGGGAAGAUAAUGACAGUACCAUAGAAGAAAGCUCCGGCUAAAUACGUGCCAGCAGCCGCGGUAAUACGUAUGGAGCGAGCGUUGUCCGGAAUUAUUGGGCGUAAAGGGUACGCAGGCGGUUUAAUAAGUCGAAUGUUAAAGAUCGGGGCUCAACCCCGUAAAGCAUUGGAAACUGAUAAACUUGAGUAGUGGAGAGGAAAGUGGAAUUCCUAGUGUAGUGAUGAAAUACGUAGAUAUUAGGAGGAAUACCAGUAGCGAAGGCGACUUUCUGGACACAAACUGACGCUGAGGUACGAAAGCGUGGGGAGCAAACAGG
rnacentral:rRNA from 3 species